rnacentral:rRNA from 1 species
GAUGAACGCUGGCGGCGUGCCUAAUACAUGCAAGUCGAGCGAACAGACGAGGAGCUUGCUCCUUCGACGUUAGCGGCGGACGGGUGAGUAACACGUAGGUAACCUACCUAUAAGACUGGGAUAACUUCGGGAAACCGGAGCUAAUACCGGAUAAUAUUUCGAACCGCAUGGUUCGAUAGUGAAAGAUGGCUUUGCUAUCACUUAUAGAUGGACCUGCGCCGUAUUAGCUAGUUGGUAAGGUAACGGCUUACCAAGGCAACGAUACGUAGCCGACCUGAGAGGGGGAUCGGCCACACGGGAACUGGGACACGGUCCAGACCCCUAGGGGGGGCAGCAGGAGGGAAUCUUCCGCAAUGGGCGAAAGCCUGACGGAGCAACGCCGCGUGGGUGAUGAAGGUUUUCGGAUCGUAAAACUCUGUUAUUAGGGAAAAAAAAACGUGUAAGUAACUGUGCACGUUUGGACGGUACCUAAUCAAAAAGCCACGGCUAACUACGU